rnacentral:lncRNA from 10 species
UUUUACUAAAACAGAGAUUGACCUCCCCUGAGCAAGAGGAAAUUCUGCCAGCAGGGAGCAGAGGUCGGAGAUUUGAAUUGCAACAUCAGAUCUUCUUUGCUGGCUCAUCCUGCAGAUUUUAGACUAGCCAGCCUCCAUGAUCACGUCAGGGCUGAAGACAAAAAUAUGCAAGUCAUCGAUAUGUACAGGGUGCUUAAACCAUGGUGCAAGAUAAAAGAAGAGAAGGAGACAGUAAUAUGGACUCCCAUAAUUGAAGAGCAGUGCAGAAAAGCGAUCUGAAGAACCCUCUGACAUAAAGCCAGUAGACCCUCAUCCACAUCUUGCUUCUUCUCCUUGAACUGACAGAAAGUCACAUACAAGCCCCCCAGUGUUUCAACUCAACAUUUUUUGUUUCUCCAAGCCACCACUGCUGUUGUAAAACCUACUUAAUCUUACUACUGGCUUCCAACUCUCACUUCCAUCAAUAAUUACUACCCAGAGACAAGAACUAAUCCACAUAGGAAGACCUUGGAAGCUUUUAUUGUUCAACACAAAAGCAAGACUACCAAAGUUCAUUUGUAAGAGGAAAGCAGAA